AAUGGUGCUCGCAUAGAUUCGCGCUCGUAAGCGUGCCACAACUUUAUUCAAUUGAUAAUCUUUAAUUCGGCAAUAUAAUUGGCUGACUAUUUUUUUUGUUUAAACUAUCAUCUGACGAGGCUUUAUUAUAAUGUCAUAUUUAUAACAUAAAUAAAAAUCAGUUUUGGCGGUUUUGGUCAAAAAAAUCUAUCGUUGGCUCCCGGAGUAUAAUGUAAUCCGCAUAUCUUAUAUACAAUGCUAGAUGGCAUUAUUAUAUACAAACAUGUUAUGGACACAAGAGUUGUAUAGAUUUUGAGUAGUUUCGUUUUUUUUUAUUUCAAAGAAAGUGAGGUUAAAUUUCUUUUUCGCCACGUGUUCGUUAUAAUAAAAAAAAAUGGAUUCAGCAUCAGGAAUACACAGAAUAGAGACAUUAUCGAAAAAUAAUUAUAAAACCUGGAAAGUCUAUAUGGAAGCAUGUCAAAAAUAUGGUUAACGAGAAAUAGAAAUUGGAAAUAUGUUGGUAAAUGUUCGAAACCAGAUCUUAUAGAAUGAUUUUAUAGAAACUCUUUCAUAAAAAUGUUGAAAUUUGGAAAGAAACUGAUUCCAUGGCGAAGACUAAUUUGUUGUUAGCGAUAAAUCUUUUGAAGUCAGGCAAGUAAAAAAAUUUACAGAUAUCUUAUGAAAUUUAUAAAAAAUUAGAAGAAAUUUAUCAAUCAAAAAGUUUUUGCAGAAAGGCUGUUUUAUUUCAUAAAUUUUAUUUUACAUAGAAUGUAAGAGAAUGAUGAUAUAAAAAUACAAAUGAAUGAUUUUUUUGAAAUGAUUGAUAAGUUGUGUAAGAUUACUAUUGAAAUAAAUGAGAAAUUGUUAUUGUAUAUACGUAAUGUAUACGUAUUGUAUAUACGUCUGCUUUUAAUAAUUUGUCAGAAAGUUUUCAGGUUUUUAAAUGUAUGCAAUCUAGAGAUAAUUUACCAAAUAGAUGUUGUUAAGAUAAAAAUUUUAGAAGAUUUAGAUUCAAAAAAAAUGAAUUGAAAAAUAGUCAAAUGUUAUUGGCUCAAAUAUGUAAAGGAAAACAGCAUUUUAAAUCACAAGAAGAAAGACUAUAAAAAUAAUAAUAUAUAGAUAAUAAUAAGAGGUUUAUUAAUAUUAAAUGUUUUAAAUAUCAAAAAUAUGGUCAUAAAAUGUAUGAAUGACUAUAAAGAUAAUAAUAAUACUUAUUCGUAUUUGCAUAAGAGUAAUAGAAGCGAAAAUCAAAUUCACAUUUGGUAUUUAGAUAGCGGUUGCACUUCUCAUAUAUUUCAAUGAAAAAAGAUUUUCUGAUUUAGAUACAAAUCAAAAUAUAAUAGUACAUUAAAUCUUACUACUAGUACUUGUGUUAAAGGUGUAAGAGAUAUUAAAGCUAUAUUUAAGAAUAGUGAAAUCACUAGAUUGCUAAUUUGCAUAAUGCUUUAUUCCAAAUUUAAGAACUGAUUUUCUGUAGCCAAGAUUGCAAAUCAAGUAUAACAGUAAUUUUUCAAAGAAAUAAAGCAUUAAGUUUUAUAGAAAAUAAUGAGCUAUAUCCAUUAGUAUAACAAAAAAAUUAUAUAAUUCUAUUUUUUAAAAAUUAAACUUGUCUUUCAUUUGAUCUUUAUAUAUCCAUGUAAAAAAAGUUUAUUAGAUUAUUUCCUAAAACUUGUCAAAUAUUUGACUGAAUUGAUUUAAAUGGGACAAUCUAUAUAUAAUUUUUUUAUAUGUUAUUCUAUUGUUACUAUAGUUUGUAUAGAAUAGUUUGUAUAGAAUAGUUAUUAUCAUUAAAUUUUAUGCAUUA